rnacentral:rRNA from 1 species
AACGAACGCUGGCGGCAUGCCUAACACAUGCAAGUCGAACGAGACCUUCGGGUCUAGUGGCGCACGGGUGCGUAACGCGUGGGAACCUGCCCUUAGGUUCGGAAUAACUCCCCGAAAGGGGUGCUAAUACCGGAUAAUGUCUUCGGACCAAAGAUUUAUCGCCUUUGGAUGGGCCCGCGUUGGAUUAGCUAGUUGGUAGGGUAAAAGCCUACCAAGGCGACGAUCCAUAGCUGGUCUGAGAGGAUGAUCAGCCACACUGGGACUGGGACACGGCCCAGACUCCUACGGGAGGCAGCAGUGGGGAAUAUUGGACAAUGGGCGAAAGCCUGAUCCAGCAAGGCCGCGUGAGUGAUGAAGGCCUUAGGGUUGUAAAGCUCUUUUACCCGGGAUGAUAAUGACAGUACCGGGAGAAUAAGCUCCGGCUAACUCCGU